rnacentral:rRNA from 1 species
UACGUAGGCAGCAAGCGUUGUUCGGAGUUACUGGGCGUAAAGGGUGUGUAGGCGGUUCGUUAAGUUUGGUGUGAAAUCUCCCGGCUCAACCGGGAGGGUGCGCCGAAUACUGAGGGACUAGAGUGCGGGAGAGGAAAGUGGAAUUCCUGGUGUAGCGGUGAAAUGCGUAGAUAUCAGGAGGAACACCGGUGGUGUAGACGGCUUUCUGGACCGUAACUGACGCUGAGGCGCGAAAGCGUGGGGAGCAAACAGG